GUAUGCACAUAUAUGUAUAAAUAUAGAUAUAUGUGUGAGUGCGUCUGCAAGUGGGUGUAUUUUCCUGUACGUGUGUACGGGCGGUCAAACGAAGAAUCUCCGAGUUUGUGUUGAUUUUUCAACUGUUUGUCACCUACACAACCCAACUAGUUCAGAAAAUAUUCUAUUUGUAGAGCCAAAGCGAAUGAGACCAAGCUGGAGCAGUGCGGUCAGUUGGGAAAAUAAUGAAUAUAAAACAUGUAAGCAUGCGUCUAUUAUGUCAGCGUGUCAGCGUGUACGUGUCUAUUGUUUAGAAUUGAUAGGC